rnacentral:tRNA from 1 species
CGGGGAGUGGCUUAGUGGUAAAGCGCUCGCUUGGGGUGCGAGAGAUCGGGGGUUCAAUUCCCCCUUCCCCGA